rnacentral:lncRNA from 1 species
CUGGCCAGGGUCCUGGUCCCAUCCCAGUGGGCUUCCUGCCUGCCAGCCUGGGGGAGUGGUGUGGGCUGACCCCGACCAGGGCUCACAUGGCGCCGUAUUUCCAACGUUCAGAGCACAUUGGAAAGUUGGGAGGAAGGAUGAGGCUUGUAUUUUCACUCAACUCCCUCCAGAAGAUGAUAAUGAAAGUGUCUGACGCAUAAGGAAAUAAAUAAGAUUGUUAUGUGCCCAGCUCAAGGGCUAAGGUGUUGGUCAAGACCACACCCGAGGGGCUGCCAGUCACAGGGUGGGGUCCAAGCUCCUCACCCAGACCCAACCU